UAUGGUGCGAGUGUAAGAAAUAAGAGUCCCCAUCCUUUAGCUGAUGAUGAAGACGAUGACGACUUAUUUGAAGACCGAUUUAGUAUUGCAUAUAAUCUUGACCGAGAAUUUGGUCCAAGGCUUAAGGAGCACAUGCAAUAUUGCAUGAACCAUCUAGAAGAAAUUAGUAAGCUCUCAAAAUUAAAAGCUCAAGUAACUGAGGUGAAGGGGAUUAUGAUGGAUAACAUUGAAAAGGUUUUGGAUCGUGGGGAGAAUAUUGAACUUCUAGUGGACAAAACAGAAAACUUGCAAUUCUAGGUUGGUGUUAUCUUCUCUUU